AUACGUGUAGGGUGGAGAUGCACAACCGUCGGACUGUGUAGCAUUAGGCUUUAUCAAGACGCUUCAUCUCGUCCACAGUCGCCGGUUGAUUCCUCCUCCUGAUUGAGCUUUUGCUUAAGAGGUGCCUUUUGUCACCCCAGCAAGCAGGACGCGUGAGUCGCGAGUUCGCCCCAACUGGCCGGAUUUCGCUAGACACUGGAGCGGCCAACCGCUCCUGACGCACCUGACACCGACCGUGAGAAGUCGUGUGUGCCGAACGCCGUUUCCGGCAGCCCGGAAACCGA
rfam:Pseudomonas chlororaphis subsp. aureofaciens 30-84 chromosome, whole genome shotgun sequence.